rnacentral:rRNA from 1 species
GACGAACCGUGCGAACGUUGUUCGGACUAACUGGGCUUAAAGGGUGCGUAGGCGGGUCCGCCAGUCUGUGGUGAAAUCCUCCCGCUCAACGGGAGAACUGCCGUGGAUACUGCGGACCUCGAGGAAGAUAGGGGCGUGCGGAACAGUUGGUGGAGCGGUGAAAUGCGUUGAUAUCAACUGGAACUCCGGUGGCGAAGGCGGCACGCUGGGUCUUUUCUGACGCUGAGGCACGAAAGCUAGGGGAGCAAACGGG